AGCAGCCGCGGUAAUUCCAGCUCCAAUAGCGUAUAUUAAAGUUGUUGCAGUUAAAAAGCCCGUAGUUGAAUUUCGGAAUCUGUCCGUUGGUCGGGCUUCACUGUCCGUACUGGCGUGGUGGGUUCUUACCUUCUGAAUAACCAGCAUGCCAUUCACUUGGUGCGCUGGGGAAGCAGGACUAUUACCUUGAAAAAAUUAGAGUGCUCAAAGCAGGCUAGUGCCUGAAUAUAUUAGCAUGGAAUAAUAAAAUAGGACGGCAUGGUUCUAUUUUGUUGGUUUCUAGGAUCACCGUAAUGAUUAAUAGGGAUAGUUGGGGGCAUUAGUAUUCAAUUGUCAGAGGUGAAAUUCUUGGAUUUAUUGAAGACUAACUUCUGCGAAAGCAUUUGCCAAGGAUGUUUUCAUUAAUCAAGAACGAAAGUUAGGGGAUCGAAGACGAUCAGAUACCGUCGUAGUCUUAACCAUAAACUAUGCCGACUAGGGAUCGGACGAUGUUAAUUUUUAAUGACUCGUUCGGCGACCG
rnacentral:rRNA from 1 species